CACGCUACCAUACAAAGCUGCUUUCCCUGAGCAGUUUCGACACCAACUUGUUUCAAGUAGCGCAACAGCUCUGGGAAAUCAGUUCAAUUUAGCCAUGCCUAGCUGGAGCUCCUCCACAAAGAAAGAGACCUCCUUAAUACCAGCUUAGGAAGCACUCCCACCUUCCUGUCAACCACAGUUCUGUCUCUAUUUGAGCACACCUCAAGGCAUUUGAAGUCUUCUCCUUACGGCAGCCAGCUGCGAUGCAUUUAAGCACCUGAUUACAAGGGUGCUCUUGCUAAAAGGAGCAAUGGCAGAGAGAGACUUCCAGUGCAGACUUUAAGAUGCUGCAAUCUAAUCGUGGGAAAGACACUUGCUCCUGAGCAGAUUCGAGCUUGGGGAUGUGUUGCUGUCACACCAACGAGUCUGCCGUGAGUUUCAGAGAACACAUAAUACUGACUA
ensembl:lincRNA